rnacentral:lncRNA from 1 species
GUGUUUUGUUUUGUUUUGGUCUUUUUGGCAUUUCUUGGGCCGCUCCCGAAGCAUAUGGAGGUUCCCAGGCUAGGGGUCCAAUCGGAGCUGUAGCCACCGGGCUACGCCAGGGCCACAGCAAUGUGGGAUCCAAGCUGCGUCUGCGACCUACACCACAGCUCACAGCAACGCCAGAUCCUUAUUAAGCCACUGAGCAAGGCCAGGAAUCGAACCAGCAACCUCAUGGUUCCUAGUCGGAUUCAUUAACCACUGCGCCACGACAGAACUCCACUCUAUUGGGUUUUUUUAAUUCUUUUUUUUUUCGUAAGCCCCAGACUUCUGCCUGGGGAGGAGAAGGAACAACGGGGAAUGGCCAGUGUGUGACAACACUGUCCACUUGUUUUUCUGCUGCCAGCCACCCUGCAUUCUCAGCUUCAGAAGCAGCGGUGGUUGCAGCUUAGGAGCAUCUCCAGGGUUGAGCAGCUUUAAUUCGCCUUUUGGUGGGCUUGAGUUUCAACUCUCCCAGAUCUGCGAAAUCAGUUACCACCUAUCCAACUGCUUGGCAGCCUCCAAUUACCCGUUGUUCCAAAAAUGUCCUACAAUGUUACAGGAGUAACUGAGAGGUGAGGCUUUAGAUCCGCGAGAGCCCGCUCGACCAAUGAGAACACACUUGCCCAAGUGUUCUCAGCAUCCUGGCCUUCUCCAAAGCUAUCUAGGGAAUGGGAAUGUCGAUUGAGAGAGGAAAUGGUAGACUCUCCAAUUUCCACUUGAGUCUGUGAUUAAAUAACCUCAUGUGAAAGACGACUUGUAAGAACACGGUCCUGUCACUAUUUCACGGAGACUCUGCUCGCUGCCUGCUAACACUCCCUCUCCCUGAGCCGUCGAUGCUUCUGUCAGUGUGUCCCCAGUGUCAAGCAUGUGCCUGACCAAAAACUGGUGCUCAGUGAACGUUUGCCAGAAGAAUGAACACAAAGACCUAUCCCUCAGAUAGAGGUUUAGUUCGGUUCAGCAAGAGGCUGCACCCACGGCACAUGGAAGUUCCCAGGCCAGGGAUCGCUCCUGAUCGAUCCUUAACCCACUGCACCAGGCUGGAGAUCAAACCUGCACCCCAGAGUGACCUGGGCUGCAACAGAGAUGACACCGGAUCCUUAGCUCACUGUCCCACAGCGGUAACUCCAGCAAGAACGUUUUAGAGUUUAAGAAACAGACUCACAGACAGAGAGAACAGACUUGUGGUUGCCAAGGGAGAGGGGCCUUGGGAGAGGGACGGAGUGGGAGUUGGGGUUAGCGGAUACAAACUAUUGUGUAUAGAAUGGAUAAACAGCAGGUUCUACUGUUAGCACAGGGAGCUAUAUUCAAUAUCCUGUGACAAACCGUAAUGGAAAAGAAUCUGAAAAGGAAUGUAAACACGUGUGACCGAAUCACUGUGCUGUGCAGCAGAAAUCAACACAACAUUGUAAAUCCACCACACUUCGACUUUUAAAAAGUAUUGGGGAAAAAGAAAGCUUUCGGGUUUAUUGUUAUUGUGUUUUAAAAUAGAAUUAUACUGCAUCAACGCUGGCUUCCUGAUUACAGAGAACAGCAGUGAAAUCCUCAUGCGAAACCUCCUGGCACUUCCUACUCACAAGUGUUGCAAAAAUAUGAAUUUUUCUUAAGAUAUUCUACCUAUUGUCUACUCUGUAUAGAAACUGGAAAUUUAAAAGGAAAAAUAUUCAUGUAUAUAAGUUUCAUGUUUGAAUCUCAUCCUCAAAAUCAAGAUGUUCAGGAACUAAAUAUUACUUGCAUUGUUCUAACCACUAAAUUUCUGCUGAGGCAGAAGGUCCCUGAAGAAACGAAACAAACUCAGUGCAUCUUCGUGAUUCCCCUCUCGCCUUUUCGGGGUGCGUCUGCCAUGGGCGGGACUUCCUCACCCAAGGGAUUUACAUCCGCAGAAAGAGUGGAGCACGGACAGGUGGGACCUGGCCCCAGUGUCAUGUCCGCAUGGCAGGGACCAACCCUCUGGUCUGCACAGGGAAGACGGGCUUAAGACGAAGGACAGCGGGAACGGAAAAUGCCACCGAAAACUUGACUGACGUCUCAGAAAUACCAUCCCACCUUUUCUGGUUGCAAUCCCAUGGGUUGAUCCACUUCAAUUUUUAUUCUAACACAUCCUUGCCCAAACUCUUUUCUUACCCUUCCACAAGCUCUCUGCAGCCCCCUCCCGCAUUCCCCAGUGGCUUAUUUCGCCUGGGCCAGGCUGUUUGUUUGUUUCUCACAGUUGUCCUGCUGCCAAGAGGGUGGGAUGACCAGGCUGAGCCAAGCUCUCCGAUAAUGUCACUCCUGGCAGGAAGAGGGACUCGCAGCAGCAACACAUUUGCGCCUUCCUCACAUUCCGGACACGCCCAGGAAUCACGCGGGACCCACGCAUGCAAAACUGGCUCUGUUUCAUUCAUCUGGCAGCCAAGACCCACAAACCAGAUCUGGUCUCCAGCAACAGCAGUGGCAACAUCAAUAGCAAAAUGGGUUUUGAUCCAUAUUCCACAAACACGAAAGUUCGUUUUUUAUUUGCUUUGACAAGUACUCCUGCAAGCAGUGUUUCUGGAGACCACCUCCAACCAUGAUUUGUGCUGAGAACCUGACUUUUACGAAUCGUAACAAUAAUAACAUCUGACCUACAGUGAGUACCGUUCUGAGUUUAGGCUAAAUGCUUUACAGAAACGAUCUCACUAAAUCCACAUCACAAUCUCAUCUCCAUUGUAUGAUAAAGAAAUAGGAUUACAGAGAGUAGUUGCUUUACUUGCCUAAGGUCAUAUAACAUAAAUACGAAAUCCGAAUUAAUCGAGAAUUUUAUCAGAACCUGAAUUCUUAACUACUACCAUAUUUGACGAAUCAAAUUGAUAUAAGAAUUUACAAGAAACCUGUAACUUAAAAUAUAGGACCAAAAAUUAAGCAUCAUUAGGAAAAGAGAAUUUUGGACUUACGUUAACUGUUCUAGGUUAAAACAUUUAUUUUUCAAUUAAAAUAUUGGCAGAGAUACAUAAUUAACACCGGAAUGUAUCCUGAAGAAAGCAAGAGUGAAUAAUGGGUCCAUUUUGUUUAACUUUAGAGACAGACUCAUAACUACCCUAAUGGUGAAACCAUUAACCAGAAAACCAACCCACACCAAACAAGCCAAACAAAAACCUAUCAUUCCAUUUCCACCUCUACUCCUUUUCAUGAUUUUCUUCUCCUGGUACCUGGAUAUAAAAAUAUACAGAAAUAUACAUUUAUUUAUCUUCAUAUUAUUGGUUUUGGUUUGGGUUUUUUUGGGGGGAUUGUCUUUUCAGGGCUGCACUUGUGGCAUACAGAAGUGUCCAGGCUAGGGGUCCAAUUGGAGCUGCAGCUGCUAGCCUACACCACAGCCACAGCAACGCAGGAUCCGAGACGCAUCUGCAACCUACACCACAGCUCAUGGCAAUGCCGGACCCUUAACCCACUGAGCGAGGACAGGGAUUAAACCUGCAACCUCAUGGAUACUAGUUGGGUUCAUUCCCACGGGCACGAUGGGAACUCAUUUCUUCAUGUUAGGAAAAGACAGCCUGAAAUAGGAGAACCACCACUAAACCUGGACCUAGAGACUACAUUUAGUGCAAAUUCAUCCACUUACCAGUUCUGAAAAUGUGGUAGACAUGGUUCCUCAUCUCUCAGCCUUAAAGAAACAUUCUACAGCAUAAGGGGGCUGGAUUGAAUACCAUGAUAGGUUCUUUCCAGCUUGAAUAUUCUAUCCUAUUAGUUACGUAGCUCAUGUUACAAAUAUUCCUUUUCUGAACUAGCAGACGCAGAGGAAGCUCUUCAAGAAAAAUAGAAAACUAAAAAUAAUUAAGAACCUCUUAUUACAGAUUGAGCCCCAGAUUCCAUAUUUCUAAAAGCUAAGUAAUGCCAUCCUCUCAACCGUGCCCCCGGGACCUCCCUCUCAAAUACCACCCGCCUCUCUUUGUCUUCCUGCCGCUUACUGUUGUCCCUUCUCGUUCUCGUCUCACAUGUAAUUUACUCCACGAAGUUCUCCCUGACGCCCUCGGGAGGAAGAUAAAUGCACCCUCUGUGUAACCCAGUUCUCUGCACAUUUCCCAAUAGUGACUUUUCACAAUUUUUUGUAAUUGCUUAUGAAUUGAUUCGCCUUCAAAUAAUAUCAUAAUCUUGAACUGAGAAUCUGUCUCUUUUUCUCAUCAGCACCUACAACAGUUGCUGACACAUGAUAGUUCCUCAAUAAAUGUUGCUUAAAAUGUUCUCUAGUCCAGGAGUUCCCGUCGUGGUGCAGUGGAAAGGAAUCCGACUGGGAACCAUGAGGUUGCAGGUUCGAUCCCUGGCCUGGCUCAGAGGGUUAAGGAUCCGGUGUUGCCGUGAGCUGUGGUGUAGGUCGCAGACACGGGUCAGAUCCCGCGUUGCUGUGGCUGUGGUGUAGGCCGGCAGCUGCAGCUCCGAUUAGACCCCUAGCCUGGGAACCUCCUUGCGAGUGAGGCCCUAAAAAGACAAAAGACCAAAAAAAAAAAAAAUUUCUCUAGUCCAAUUUCCUCCCUUUACAGACAAAAACCUGGAGCUCCUCGACAUGAAUGCUAGACUUCCAGGACAGAGUUCUUUACCACACGGCACUGUCACUCAAACUCAUCUGACGUCUAUGUUAUACAUUAUCAUAGUAACUUUAAGUACAGGUGAGGAGGACGGCAACGAUAUUACGGCACGCAGAUAAGAUAAGAUACACAUGGAGUUAAGAAAAGUCUUGCCAUAGAUAAAGGCAAUCAGAAAAACAUUUAAGUUGCUAACUGGUAAAUUAGAUAUGAUCAAAGAAAUUGCUGACAGGUCCUCAGCUGUUAAAUCAGAUCACAGGCAUGACCAAUUAAAGAUAUAAAUAUUUAAUCCCAGGACCUGGCAAAAAAAAACAAGGCAAAGUCCAGAGUUAUCAGAUUUAGAGGGGAUGAGAAAGUUGAAAACUUUAAUAGAUGGACAAGAAUGAUUUGCGCACGCGCGCACACACGCACUUGCGCGCACACACACACAGACCCACCACGCAUAUGUAGGAGUUCUUAAGGUUUUAAACAUGUCCACAGAUGUACUUGGGCAGCGUACAAAAACAUUUUGCCUAAACACCAAAGUAAUAAAAAUUUAAUUACUUAUUCGUACAAGGCAACUAUGACUCAGACAGCAGAUACAUGAUUUUAUUCCUACCUCUAACUCUGACUCGGUGCAUCGGCUCCAGGACUGACCCCCCGAGCCCUCUGCAGGCAGCAUAGCACCCAGUGUCCCGCUCAUUGACACGGAGCUGCCCACAGUGCCCCCGAAAACCGAAGGGGGAGAAAGGCAUGGGGCGAGGGGUGAUGAGAGUAAGACGGACGCUGAGAGAAAAGACAGAGAGACCAGAAACGAGGGGCCAGCAAACAGCCCCUUCCUCAUCCUUUAUCUCCCUGUCUUUUCGGGGCGGGAGCAGUUAGUCACCUGGAGUCCGUGAGGAAAGGAGCAUGGGAAUAAAACCCACGCUCCCAGGACGACAAAGGCAAAGAGCAAAGGCCUGCUGAAUGUCACUUGAAAAGAUCCUACGAUUCAAUGCGGUUUGAUAGAACAGAACAAUCGCUGAAAAGACGCGAUUUAUGUCUAUCGUCAACCAAGUCAAGCUCACCAAGAAGUUAAAAAUAAGCCGUGGACCAGGCCCUCAGCCCCGUCCAGCACUCGCACGUACGCAUCGCUGACCGCACGACCACCUGCCCCUCCCAACGCGGAUACUAACGUUAAGGAGCAGUUGGGGAUGUGACAAAAGGAGACUUCUCGCCUGUUCCUACCUAAAAUCUUUCUUCUUUUCCUAUUUGCAAAGGGUUGAAAAGUGAAAAGGGAACAUAUCUUUCCCUGGAAACCCUCCAGCUAUUUUGUUACAAAGUGUACCCUACCCUCCGAUGUACAAAUCCCACACUCACCAGGACAUGUCAGCAAAAGUCUGUGUGAGCGCACGUAUAUGUGGAAUCUAAUAUACGGCACGAAUGAGCCUUUCCACAGAAAAGAAAGUCUGGACGCGGAGAACAGACGUGUGGUGGCCGAGGGAGAGGGACUGGGAGCUGGGGGUUCACAGACGCAGACUGUUGCCUUUGGAGUGGAUAAGCGAUGCGAUCCUGCUGUGUCGCACUGGGAACUCUGGUCACUUGAGAUGGAGCCUGAUCACGGGAGAAAAAGAAUGUGUACACGUAUGCGUGACUGGGUGCAGUAGAAAACUGACAGAAAACUGUAAAUCAGCCAUAAUGGAAAA